GGGAGUCAGUGCUGGCCACACCCCUAGCGUGCCUGCCUGAAGGCCACCAACAGGAUUCUUGUCUGUCAGAGCACCUCUACGACGUCAUUUCAUUCCAGAGUCCAUGUCCAGAACGCAGCACUAGAAUCCUCUCACUGGUUCUUUGUCCUAAACUGUACUGGUCAGGCAAUUGCACACUUCUCACUGAAAUGACUCCAUGUGCCAUCCUUACCCUGCCCUUCCUUAACUCUCUCUUGUGGUCCUGCUGUGCACCCUGGAGAUUUUCCUGGAUCAUUAAUAAGAGAAGCCACAGAAACUAGAAUUCCUAAAAACAAAACACAGCUAGAUUUCCUCUUCCCCAGUGUGGGCUGUGGAUACUAGAACGUCCCUCGGGGUCUGGUGGCACAGCAGGGACGCAAUGCUCCUUCCACGGAGGGCUUCUCUUGGGUUGGUUGUUCUGGAACCACCACCUUAAAAUUCAUUUCUGAAAAAGAAAACCUGCCUUUUCAUUUUGCAGUAUUCUAGCAGUUAUGCAAGCAACCUUGCCCACACGUGCUACACUUGGAGUUCUAGAUGGUGAUAAUUAAUGCUCAGAAUGACUGCCCUGAGAUCGGUCAUUUCCUGAGUGACCCAAGAUUCAAUGACCACGGUCUUUCCCUCAUUCAAGAUUUUCAGAAUACUAUAGUGAACCAACCCACUCUAUUUUCCUGGCAUUUACACCAUGCCACCCUUCCUGCAGCCACCCAUGCUCAGAUGACAGUCAUGUAUCAGCUGGGACAUUAGCCGGUAUGCCACAUGUGAUGUAUGUUGGGGUAGUGUACACUAUCUGGCUCAGCAGGCAGAGACACUUCACCCAUCCCCAUUUCUUUCUCUGUAGAUAGCAAAUCAGAUUGCAAAUGAGCAAGAAUGACACCAUUAAGGGAGCUAACCUUAAACCCACUCUGAUGGCAAGUAUAAUAAAUCUUUCACAA